GGUUAAGCGACUAAGCGUACACGGUGGAUGCCCUGGCAGUCAGAGGCGAUGAAGGACGUGCUAAUCUGCGAUAAGCGUCGGUAAGGUGAUAUGAACCGUUAUAACCGGCGAUUUCCGAAUGGGGAAACCCAGUGUGUUUCGACACACUAUCAUUAACUGAAUCCAUAGGUUAAUGAGGCGAACCGGGGGAACUGAAACAUCUAAGUACCCCGAGGAAAAGAAAUCAACCGAGAUUCCCCCAGUAGCGGCGAGCGAACGGGGAGCAGCCCAGAGCCUGAAUCAGUGUGUGUGUUAGUGGAAGCGUCUGGAAAGGCGCGCGAUACAGGGUGACAGCCCCGUACACAAAAAUGCACAUAUUGUGAGCUCGAUGAGUAGGGCGGGACACGUGGUAUCCUGUCUGAAUAUGGGGGGACCAUCCUCCAAGGCUAAAUACUCCUGACUGACCGAUAGUGAACCAGUACCGUGAGGGAAAGGCGAAAAGAACCCCGGCGAGGGGAGUGAAAAAGAACCUGAAACCGUGUACGUACAAGCAGUGGGAGCACGCUUAGGCGUGUGACUGCGUACCUUUUGUAUAAUGGGUCAGCGACUUAUAUUCUGUAGCAAGGUUAACCGAAUAGGGGAGCCGAAGGGAAACCGAGUCUUAACUGGGCGUUAAGUUGCAGGGUAUAGACCCGAAACCCGGUGAUCUAGCCAUGGGCAGGUUGAAGGUUGGGUAACACUAACUGGAGGACCGAACCGACUAAUGUUGAAAAAUUAGCGGAUGACUUGUGGCUGGGGGUGAAAGGCCAAUCAAACCGGGAGAUAGCUGGUUCUCCCCGAAAGCUAUUUAGGUAGCGCCUCGUGAAUUCAUCUCCGGGGGUAGAGCACUGUUUCGGCAAGGGGGUCAUCCCGACUUACCAACCCGAUGCAAACUGCGAAUACCGGAGAAUGUUAUCACGGGAGACACACGGCGGGUGCUAACGUCCGUCGUGAAGAGGGAAACAACCCAGACCGCCAGCUAAGGUCCCAAAGUCAUGGUUAAGUGGGAAACGAUGUGGGAAGGCCCAGACAGCCAGGAUGUUGGCUUAGAAGCAGCCAUCAUUUAAAGAAAGCGUAAUAGCUCACUGGUCGAGUCGGCCUGCGCGGAAGAUGUAACGGGGCUAAACCAUGCACCGAAGCUGCGGCAGCGACGCUUAUGCGUUGUUGGGUAGGGGAGCGUUCUGUAAGCCUGCGAAGGUGUGCUGUGAGGCAUGCUGGAGGUAUCAGAAGUGCGAAUGCUGACAUAAGUAACGAUAAAGCGGGUGAAAAGCCCGCUCGCCGGAAGACCAAGGGUUCCUGUCCAACGUUAAUCGGGGCAGGGUGAGUCGACCCCUAAGGCGAGGCCGAAAGGCGUAGUCGAUGGGAAACAGGUUAAUAUUCCUGUACUUGGUGUUACUGCGAAGGGGGGACGGAGAAGGCUAUGUUGGCCGGGCGACGGUUGUCCCGGUUUAAGCGUGUAGGCUGGUUUUCCAGGCAAAUCCGGAAAAUCAAGGCUGAGGCGUGAUGACGAGGCACUACGGUGCUGAAGUAACAAAUGCCCUGCUUCCAGGAAAAGCCUCUAAGCAUCAGGUAACAUCAAAUCGUACCCCAAACCGACACAGGUGGUCAGGUAGAGAAUACCAAGGCGCUUGAGAGAACUCGGGUGAAGGAACUAGGCAAAAUGGUGCCGUAACUUCGGGAGAAGGCACGCUGAUAUGUAGGUGAAGCGACUUGCUCGUGGAGCUGAAAUCAGUCGAAGAUACCAGCUGGCUGCAACUGUUUAUUAAAAACACAGCACUGUGCAAACACGAAAGUGGACGUAUACGGUGUGACGCCUGCCCGGUGCCGGAAGGUUAAUUGAUGGGGUCAGCGCAAGCGAAGCUCUUGAUCGAAGCCCCGGUAAACGGCGGCCGUAACUAUAACGGUCCUAAGGUAGCGAAAUUCCUUGUCGGGUAAGUUCCGACCUGCACGAAUGGCGUAAUGAUGGCCAGGCUGUCUCCACCCGAGACUCAGUGAAAUUGAACUCGCUGUGAAGAUGCAGUGUACCCGCGGCAAGACGGAAAGACCCCGUGAACCUUUACUAUAGCUUGACACUGAACAUUGAGCCUUGAUGUGUAGGAUAGGUGGGAGGCUUAGAAGUGUGGACGCCAGUCUGCAUGGAGCCGACCUUGAAAUACCACCCUUUAAUGUUUGAUGUUCUAACGUUGACCCGUAAUCCGGGUUGCGGACAGUGUCUGGUGGGUAGUUUGACUGGGGCGGUCUCCUCCUAAAGAGUAACGGAGGAGCACGAAGGUUGGCUAAUCCUGGUCGGACAUCAGGAGGUUAGUGCAAUGGCAUAAGCCAGCUUGACUGCGAGCGUGACGGCGCGAGCAGGUGCGAAAGCAGGUCAUAGUGAUCCGGUGGUUCUGAAUGGAAGGGCCAUCGCUCAACGGAUAAAAGGUACUCCGGGGAUAACAGGCUGAUACCGCCCAAGAGUUCAUAUCGACGGCGGUGUUUGGCACCUCGAUGUCGGCUCAUCACAUCCUGGGGCUGAAGUAGGUCCCAAGGGUAUGGCUGUUCGCCAUUUAAAGUGGUACGCGAGCUGGGUUUAGAACGUCGUGAGACAGUUCGGUCCCUAUCUGCCGUGGGCGCUGGAGAACUGAGGGGGGCUGCUCCUAGUACGAGAGGACCGGAGUGGACGCAUCACUGGUGUUCGGGUUGUCAUGCCAAUGGCACUGCCCGGUAGCUAAAUGCGGAAGAGAUAAGUGCUGAAAGCAUCUAAGCACGAAACUUGCCCCGAGAUGAGUUCUCCCUGACCCUUUAAGGGUCCUGAAGGAACGUUGAAGACGACGACGUUGAUAGGCCGGGUGUGUAAGCGCAGCGAUGCGUUGAGCUAACCGGUACUAAUGAACCGUGAGGCUUAACCUU
rnacentral:rRNA from 1 species